rnacentral:ncRNA from 1 species
AUAGGAGCAUUGAAUAAGAAAAAGUACUGCCCAAUAUAGAGAGCCUCGUGAAGGUGAAAGAGGAGAAGCAGGAAAUACGACUUAGGAGCAUCUUUGUGAAAGCAAAGCGUAGGCGUAGCGUUAUUUACGCACAUAAGGGAGAGUUAUGUUAACUCUAACUAAGGUGGUACCGCGUUAUUUUAGCGUCCUUAGA